CACUAGCGUAUAUUAAAGUUGUUGCAGUUAAAAAGCUCGUAGUUGGAUUUCUGACAUUUUUUACACCUCUGGUCGUUGACUAUGCUUUUUUUUAAUUAAAAAAGAUUUGUUGAGCAAUUGGUACUGCGAUGGUGUGUGUCAUCCUUUCACUGUUGUCAGAAUCUUUGAUUGAUUUCAAGGAUUUUGAAUUUUUAUCAACGUGAAUCGUUUACUUUGAAAAAAUUAGAGUGUUUAAAGCAGAAGAAUUUUUUUUAUCUUCAUUGAAUACAUUAGCAUGGAAUAAUAAGAUAGGACUUUGGUUCUAUUUUGUUGGUUUCUAGAACCGAAGUAAUGAUUGAUAGGGAUAGUUGGGGGUGCUCUUAUUCAGCCGCCAGCGGUGAAAUGCUUGGAUUGGCUGAAGAAGAACUUAUGCGAAAGCAUUCACCAAGGAUAUUUUCUUUAA
rnacentral:rRNA from 1 species